CUGAAUGCAGUGUCAGUUAUAGCCUGCCCGACCAUGCCUCCCGUAACUGAACAGCCACCGUUAGUAACCCCAGGGCCACACUCAGGACCGAUUGUGUAUGAAGCUCCAAGUGAACAGCCACCAGUGAACGGCAGUGAAUGUGUUUCCUUCCGACACGAUGGAGAAAUCGUGAGCGGAUGUGUUGGCGAAGAAGGGGUGGAGGAGACAAUCGAAAUGGAGG
rnacentral:lncRNA from 1 species